rnacentral:rRNA from 1 species
CCUACGGGUGGCAGCAGUGGGGAAUAUUGGACAAUGGGGGCAACCCUGAUCCAGCCAUGCCGCGUGUGUGAAGAAGGCCCUCGGGUUGUAAAGCACUUUGAGUGAGGAAGAACGCCUGGUGGUUAAUACCCAUCAGGAAAGACAUCACUCACAGAAGAAGCACCGGCUAACUCCGUGCCAGCAGCCGCGGUAAUACGGAGGGUGCGAGCGUUAAUCGGAAUUACUGGGCGUAAAGCGCGCGUAGGUGGCUUGAUAAGCCGGUUGUGAAAGCCCCGGGCUCAACCUGGGAACGGCAUCCGGAACUGUCAAGCUAGAGUGCAGGAGAGGAAGGUAGAAUUCCCGGUGUAGCGGUGAAAUGCGUAGAGAUCGGGAGGAAUACCAGUGGCGAAGGCGGCCUUCUGGACUGACACUGACACUGAGGUGCGAAAGCGUGGGUAGCAAACAGGAUUAGAUACCCGGGUAGUC